CUGAGAGCCAUGGAAAGGUAGAGAGAGGUUUCCACCAUUAAUAGAAAUCUUGGAUUAUCAGUCUUUGGAAACAGCUUGCAUAAAAAGAAUGAAGGGUUGUGUGUAUCUCCAGAAGGUGCCCCCACAACAUCCUGCUGGCUCCCUUUGGUGAGUGUAAAACGGCAUGCAGCAGGGAGCUAUACAGAGAAAGUAUAGUAAAUUGAGAGGAGUAAGCAUGCCGGUAUGGAUUACAAGGGAAGCAUGCAAAAACUGUAGGACCCAUGUAAGAAUUGAGUAAAACCCAUUUUUCCCUCAACUACACAACAGAAGAAAAAUGAGGCAAUAAUAUUCUGCCAGUAAUGGAAAAAUGAAAUGUCUGUGUAGAUCUACGGAUCUUGAAAAACCUUACAUUUGGAGAAGCAUCUUCACUCAGGAUUCUCAUGCUACAGCUUCAGUAGAAAACACAUCUAAAGUCAUGAAGGAACACCAGUUUCCGAUGGACCACAUUAUGAUACAAAACUGUAUGACUCUGUAUGGGAACUGUUGAACCACGGCCUGAACCUCUGAUUGAUCACCUGAGGCAAGCACUGAGUCAGCUGCAGGAGCACAGGUGAAGGCAAUUCAGCUGUGUGGCCGGAAGGGCUGAAGCCUUUUUGCUUUACUAUCUGUGGUUACCAAUCUGACCAUGCCACUCUGUAUGUUUGUUGAUUAUACCACUACCAGUAAAAAAGUGUUCUUUACAACCAGGUUUGCAAGUCCCUAUCUUUAAAACUGAUGAGGAUAUGAUUUCCCUCUCUGUCCCUAGAUCCUGAACUCCUAGAGGCAGAUUCACAAUGACUUGACUGAAUACAUGUGUCUGAUUCAUCUGAUUCUGACCCAGUGCUCACCUACCCCACUACUGCUGUAUCACAGUACAAGAAAUCUCAAUGUUACAUGAUGCAGCAAAGGCCCUGUAGGAGGAUUACUUAAGCAUAUUGAUUCAGUUUCCUGGAAGAGUGAUGCAUUGAUAUUGUGAAUUAACCUGCUAGAAUUCUCACAGUCCUCCUUUCAGACCUCAGAACUCUGAUUCCCAUCAGUGGAUGCCAGGCAAGAAACAGAAUCAUGGAACUUUAAGGGCUGGAAGGGGCUGCUGGAGGUCAUCUACACUGAACUCCUGCUAAAGCAGGUUCCCUGUAAUAAGUCACAUAGGAAAACUUCCAGGCAGCUCCAAAGAAGAUAUUGUCAAGAGCUUUGCUGAAGCCAGAGUAUGCAACAUCUACUGCUAUCCCCUCAUCUAGCCAAUCAGUCAUGACAUAGAAGGCUACC
ensembl:lncRNA